UGGGGAAUUUUGGACAAUGGGGGAAACCCUGAUCCAGCCAUCCCGCGUGUGCGAUGAAGGCCUUCGGGUUGUAAAGCACUUUUGGCAGGAAAGAAACGUCAUGGGUUAAUACCCCGUGAAACUGACGGUACCUGCAGAAUAAGCACCGGCUAACUACGUGCCAGCAGCCGCGGUAAUACGUAGGGUGCAAGCGUUAAUCGGAAUUACUGGGCGUAAAGCGUGCGCAGGCGGUUCGGAAAGAAAGAUGUGAAAUCCCAGAGCUCAACUUUGGAACUGCAUUUUUAACUACCGGGCUAGAGUGUGUCAGAGGGAGGUGGAAUUCCGCGUGUAGCAGUGAAAGGCGUAGAUAUGCGGAGGAACACCGAUGGCGAAGGCAGCCUCCUGGGAUAACACUGCCGCUCAUGCACGAAAGCGUGGGGAGCAAACAGG
rnacentral:rRNA from 1 species